rnacentral:rRNA from 1 species
UACGUAGGGUGCAAGCGUUGUCCGGAAUUAUUGGGCGUAAAGAGCUCGUAGGCGGUCUGUCGCGUCGGCUGUGAAAACCCGGGGCUCAACCCCGGGCCUGCAGUCGAUACGGGCAGACUAGAGUGCGGUAGGGGAGACUGGAAUUCCUGGUGUAGCGGUGAAAUGCGCAGAUAUCAGGAGGAACACCGGUGGCGAAGGCGGUGGUCUGGGCCGGCACUGACGCUGAGGAGCGAAAGCGUGGGUAGCAAACAGG